UACGAAGGGGGCUAGCGUUGCUCGGAAUGACUGGGCGUAAAGGGCGCGUAGGCGGAUUGCUUUGUCGGGCGUGAAAUUCCAGGGCUUAACCUUGGGGCUGCGUUCGAGACGGGUGAUCUUGAGUUCGGAAGAGGGUCGUGGAAUUCCCAGUGUAGAGGUGAAAUUCGUAGAUAUUGGGAAGAACACCGGUGGCGAAAGGCGGCGACCUGGUCCGAGACUGACGCUGAGGCGCGAAAGCGUAGGGAGCAAACAGG
rnacentral:rRNA from 1 species